rnacentral:rRNA from 1 species
UUAAGCGACUAAGCGUACACGGUGGAUGCCCUGGCAGUCAGAGGCGAUGAAGGACGUGCUAAUCUGCGAUAAGCGUCGGUAAGGUGAUAUGAACCGUUAUAACCGGCGAUUUCCGAAUGGGGAAACCCAGUGUGAUUCGUCACACUAUCAUUAACUGAAUCCAUAGGUUAAUGAGGCGAACCGGGGGAACUGAAACAUCUAAGUACCCCGAGGAAAAGAAAUCAACCGAGAUUCCCCCAGUAGCGGCGAGCGAACGGGGAGCAGCCCAGAGCCUGAAUCAGUGUGUGUGUUAGUGGAAGCGUCUGGAAAGGCGCGCGAUACAGGGUGACAGCCCCGUACACAAAAAUGCACAUGCUGUGAGCUCGAUGAGUAGGGCGGGACACGUGGUAUCCUGUCUGAAUAUGGGGGGACCAUCCUCCAAGGCUAAAUACUCCUGACUGACCGAUAGUGAACCAGUACCGUGAGGGAAAGGCGAAAAGAACCCCGGCGAGGGGAGUGAAAAAGAACCUGAAACCGUGUACGUACAAGCAGUGGGAGCACAGAGCAAUCUGUGUGACUGCGUACCUUUUGUAUAAUGGGUCAGCGACUUAUAUUCUGUAGCAAGGUUAACCGAAUAGGGGAGCCGAAGGGAAACCGAGUCUUAACUGGGCGUUAAGUUGCAGGGUAUAGACCCGAAACCCGGUGAUCUAGCCAUGGGCAGGUUGAAGGUUGGGUAACACUAACUGGAGGACCGAACCGACUAAUGUUGAAAAAUUAGCGGAUGACUUGUGGCUGGGGGUGAAAGGCCAAUCAAACCGGGAGAUAGCUGGUUCUCCCCGAAAGCUAUUUAGGUAGCGCCUCGUGAAUUCAUCUCCGGGGGUAGAGCACUGUUUCGGCAAGGGGGUCAUCCCGACUUACCAACCCGAUGCAAACUGCGAAUACCGGAGAAUGUUAUCACGGGAGACACACGGCGGGUGCUAACGUCCGUCGUGAAGAGGGAAACAACCCAGACCGCCAGCUAAGGUCCCAAAGUCAUGGUUAAGUGGGAAACGAUGUGGGAAGGCCCAGACAGCCAGGAUGUUGGCUUAGAAGCAGCCAUCAUUUAAAGAAAGCGUAAUAGCUCACUGGUCGAGUCGGCCUGCGCGGAAGAUGUAACGGGGCUAAACCAUGCACCGAAGCUGCGGCAGCGACGCUUAUGCGUUGUUGGGUAGGGGAGCGUUCUGUAAGCCUGCGAAGGUGUGCUGUGAGGCAUGCUGGAGGUAUCAGAAGUGCGAAUGCUGACAUAAGUAACGAUAAAGCGGGUGAAAAGCCCGCUCGCCGGAAGACCAAGGGUUCCUGUCCAACGUUAAUCGGGGCAGGGUGAGUCGACCCCUAAGGCGAGGCCGAAAGGCGUAGUCGAUGGGAAACAGGUUAAUAUUCCUGUACUUGGUGUUACUGCGAAGGGGGGACGGAGAAGGCUAUGUUGGCCGGGCGACGGUUGUCCCGGUUUAAGCGUGUAGGCUGGUUUUCCAGGCAAAUCCGGAAAAUCAAGGCUGAGGCGUGAUGACGAGGCACUACGGUGCUGAAGCAACAAAUGCCCUGCUUCCAGGAAAAGCCUCUAAGCAUCAGGUAACAUCAAAUCGUACCCCAAACCGACACAGGUGGUCAGGUAGAGAAUACCAAGGCGCUUGAGAGAACUCGGGUGAAGGAACUAGGCAAAAUGGUGCCGUAACUUCGGGAGAAGGCACGCUGAUAUGUAGGUGAAGUCCCUCGCGGAUGGAGCUGAAAUCAGUCGAAGAUACCAGCUGGCUGCAACUGUUUAUUAAAAACACAGCACUGUGCAAACACGAAAGUGGACGUAUACGGUGUGACGCCUGCCCGGUGCCGGAAGGUUAAUUGAUGGGGUUAGCGCAAGCGAAGCUCUUGAUCGAAGCCCCGGUAAACGGCGGCCGUAACUAUAACGGUCCUAAGGUAGCGAAAUUCCUUGUCGGGU